AUUGAACGCUGUCGGCAGGCCUAACACAUGCAAGUCGAGCGCAGCGGCGGACGGGUGAGUAAUGCCUAGGAAUCUGCCUGGUAGUGGGGGAUAACGUCCGGAAACGUGCGCUAAUACCGCAUACUAUCAGAUGAGCCUAGGUCGGAUUAGCUAGUUGGUGGGGUAAAGGCCUACCAAAAAGACGAUCCGUAACUGGUCUGAGAGGAUGAUCAGUCACACUGGAAAUGAGACACGGUCCAGACUCCUACGGGGGGCAGCAGUGGAGAAUAUUGGACAAUGGGCUAAAGCCUGAGCCAGCCAUGCCGCGUGUGUGAAGAAGGUCUUCGGAUUGUAAAGCACUUUAAGUUGGGAGGCGUUACCGAAAGAAUAAGCACCGGCUAACUACGUGCCAGCCGCCGCGGUAAUAC
rnacentral:rRNA from 1 species